GACAGAGGGUGCAAACGUUGUUCGGAAUUACUGGGCGUAAAGCGCGUGUAGGCGGCCCUGCAAGUCGGAUGUGAAAUCCCACGGCUCAACCGUGGAAGUGCAUUCGAAAACUGCAGGGCUAGAGUCCUGGAGAGGAAGGUGGAAUGCUUGGUGUAGAGGUGAAAUUCGUAGAUAUCAAGCGGAACACCGGUGGCGAAGGCGGCCUUCUGGACAGUGACUGACGCUGAGACGCGAAAAGCGUGGGGGAGCAAACAGGG
rnacentral:rRNA from 1 species